GGUGAGAUGGCCGAGCGGUCCAAGGCGCCAGACUAAGGUUUCAUAGUGACAAGUCUCCAAUCUGGUCUCUUCGGGGGCGGGAGUUCGAAUCUCCCUCUCAUCA